rnacentral:rRNA from 1 species
UACGAAGGGGGCUAGCGUUGUCGGAAUCACUGGGCGUAAAGCGCACGUAGGCGGAUUGCUAAGUCAGGGGUGAAAUCCUGGAGCUCAACUCCAGAACUGCCUUUGAUACUGGCGACCUUGAGUCCGGGAGAGGUGAGUGGAACUGCGAGUGUAGAGGUGAAAUUCGUAGAUAUUCGCAAGAACACCAGUGGCGAAGGCGGCUCACUGGCCCGGUACUGACGCUGAGGUGCGAAAGCGUGGGGAGCAAACAGG